ACGGAAGGCAGCAGUGAGGAAUAUUGGUCAAUGGACGGAAGUCUGAACCAGCCAAGUCGCGUGAAGGAUGAAGGUAUUAUGUAUUGUAAACUUCUUUAGCAGUGGAGUAAUAAGGUGGUCGAGACCACUGAUGCAAGUACACUGAGAAUAAGGAUCGGCUAACUCCGUGCCAGCAGCCGCGGUAAUACGGAGGAUCCGAGCGUUAUCCGGAUUUAUCGGGUUUAAAGGGUGCGCAGGCGGCUUUUUAAGUCAGUGGUUAAAUCGUGACGCUCAACGUCAUCACGCCAUUGAUACUGGAGAGCUUGAUUGCGGUCGAGGUUUGCGGAAUUCGUUGUGUAGCGGUGAAAUGCAUAGAUAUGACGAAGAACACCGAUUGCGUAGGCAGCAGACCAGGCCGUAAAUGACGCUCAUGCACGAAAGUGCGGGGAUCGAACAGGAUUAGAUACCCUGGUA
rnacentral:rRNA from 1 species